CUUUCCAGGCGGAAGUGGGUAGAUGAAGAGACCCGGGUGUAAAUAAUUUUUUUUUUCCUUUUCCUUAAAGAUCUCCACUCAGACCGGUAGUGGCCUCGCGCUGUCUAAUCAAACUCUGUCCCUGAACUAUAUUCCCAGUCCUGAAUUGAAAUUAUUUCAUGAUGUUCCCAGACUAGGAGAGGGAGUAAGAUGGCACAUUGGGAUGGCUUUUGAAAUCAUGCUGCUUUCAAGCAGGCUCAAUAUUGCUCAUUGUAAGAGUUUUCUGAAGAGUGCAUGGCUGAAGGCUGGCUGGUGAUAAGCAAGCACCUCAAAGGAGAAUGCCCCACAAGAGCAGCUUGAGGGCUCCCGCUCCUUUCCCUCACCAGAUGUCGUGUGCUUCCUGGGCUUUGGUGAGCCCCGUAAGUCCCAGGAUAACCAUGGUGGAGGUCUCGCUGAGGGGUCUGGACUUGCUGAGCUUUUAUCAGUUCCCUGUAAUCAAAGGGUGUAGGCAUGGGUAAAGUCUUCCCUCACCAGAGGGAGUAUUUAUAAUCACAGCUAAUUUCUCUCUUUAUUUCAGUCUUAAAAAUGAAGCCUGAGCUAUAUAUGCAGAA